UACGAAGGGGGCUAGCGUUGUUCGGAAUUACUGGGCGUAAAGCGCGCGUAGGCGGACAUUUAAGUCAGGGGUGAAAUGCCGGGGCUCAACCUCGGAACUGCCUUUGAUACUGGAUGUCUGGAGUUCGGGAGAGGUGAGUGGAAUUCCGAGUGUAGAGGUGAAAUUCGUAGAUAUUCGCAAGAACACCAGUGGCGAAGGCGGCUCACUGGCCCGAUACUGACGCUGAGGCACGAAAGCGUGGGGAGCGAACAGG
rnacentral:rRNA from 1 species